rnacentral:rRNA from 1 species
AUUGAACGCUGGCGGGAGGCCUAACACAUGCAAGUCGAACGAGUGGCGGACGGGUGAGUAAUGUCUGGGAAACUGCCUGAUGGAGGGGGAUAACUACUGGAAACGGUAGCUAAUACCGCAUACAAUCAGACGUGCCCAGAUGGGAUUAGCUAGUUGGUGGGGUAACGGCUCACCAAGGCGACGAUCCCUAGCUGGUCUGAGAGGAUGACCAGCCACACUGGAACUGAGACACGGUCCAGACUCCUACGGGAGGCAGCAGUGGGGAAUCUUGCACAAUGGGCGCAAGCCUGAUGCAGCCAUGCCGCGUGUAUGAUGAAGGCCUUCGGGUUGUAAAGUACUUUCAGCAGAGAGGCGUUACCUGCAGAAUAAGCACCGGCUAACUCCGUGCCAGCAGCCGCGGUAAUUC